GGGGAUGUAUCUCAGUAGUAGAAUGCUUGCCUAGUGUGCAAGAGGCACUGGGUUUAAUCCCCAGCACUCCA
rnacentral:tRNA from 1 species